rnacentral:rRNA from 1 species
UACGGGGGGGGCAAGCGUUGUUCGGAAUUACUGGGCGUAAAGGGUUUGUAGGUGGCCCGCUAAGUCACACGUGAAAUCCCUCAGCUUAACUGGGGAACUGCGUGUGAGACUGGCAGGCUCGAGGGCAGGAGAGGAACGCGGAAUUCCAGGUGUAGCGGUGAAAUGCGUAGAGAUCGGGAGGAACACCAGUGGCGAAGGCGGCUACCUGGACCAGCACUGACACUGAGGCACGAAAGCGUGGGGAGCAAACAGG